GAUGAACGCUAGCGAUAGGCUUAACACAUGCAAGUCGAGGGGCAGCACAAGGUAGCUUGCUAUCUGGGUGGCGACCGGCGCACGUGUGCGUAACGCGUAUGCAACUUGCCCUAUACAGGAGGAUAACCCGUCGAAAGACGGACUAAUACUGCGUAUGCUCACAACUUGGCAUCAAGUGGUGAGGAAAGAAAUUCGGUAUAGGAUAGGCAUGCGUCCCAUUAGCUUGUUGGUGAGGUAACGGCUCACCAAGGCAACGAUGGGUAGGGGAACUGAGAGGUUUAUCCCCCACACUGGUACUGAGACACGGACCAGACUCCUACGGGAGGCAGCAGUGAGGAAUAUUGGUCAAUGGGCGCGAGCCUGAACCAGCCAAGUCGCGUGAAGGAUGACUGUCUUAUGGAUUGUAAACUUCUUUUAUACGGGAAUAACAAGAGUCACGUGUGACUCCCUGCAUGUACCGUAUGAAUAAGCAUCGGCUAACUCCGUG
rnacentral:rRNA from 1 species